rnacentral:rRNA from 1 species
UACGUAGGGUGCAAGCGUUGUCCGGAAUUAUUGGGCGUAAAGAGCUCGUAGGCGGUCUGUCGCGUCUGCUGUGAAAACUCAGGGCUUAACCCUGAGCUUGCAGUGGGUACGGGCAGACUAGAGUGCGGUAGGGGAGACUGGAAUUCCUGGUGUAGCGGUGAAAUGCGCAGAUAUCAGGAGGAACACCGGUGGCGGAAGGCGGCUCUCUGGGACGG